rnacentral:lncRNA from 1 species
UUUAAAAUCAUUUCAAAAAUUGCAUCUGAAUCAGUUUGAGUCAGUUUAGUCCCUAGGGGCAUUUUGGUCUUUUCCUGUCAAAAUUUCGGCAGAGAGGUAUUUUAAAAUACCUCAUUUUUGUAGUUGGUUCAUUUUAGUCCUUUUGUUGAUUUUAUUUUAGGUUUCACUUUACAUUUGGUCAAAUUACCAAUUUUAAUUCAUUUUAUUUUUAACUGCAUUUUAGUCCCUGAAACAGUUUCCAGAAUUGCAUUUUAGUCCAAAACUUUUUAAAUUUGCUUUUUAGUCCUUUUUUCUUAUUUGCUGUUUAGUCCUUCAAGUUUCUUAUUUUGCAGAAAGGUCCCAAGUUCAUUUUUCAGCCCAAGGCCGAGCCAUUUUUAUCCAGGACAAAUGUCACCUUUUCAUUGGAUUCCAGGCACACAUGGCAGCCUAUAAAAGGUGCAUUCACUGCACAAAUCCACAGAUCCACAGAAUCAGUGACACAUCACCAAAAACAGAAUCUCAGUUUCGCUCUCCAUUCAGUUAGAUCAAAAUAAGAAAAUCAUCAAGAACAUUCACAAAAACCCUAACUUUCCAGAAUCGAAAAUCAACACAGAAUUCAAGCAAAUUCGUCACAAUUCUCAGAGAUUCAACACUGAAUCUUCAUCAUUGAAUCGGCUCCUUCGCAAUACAAGUGCGAAUCCAUCACUGUUGGUGACGGACUCAAGCACGAUCACGAAGAAGACUUGAAGUUUGAGAGAAGAGAGAAAAGAUGAAGAAGAAUUGAAUCGGUACCAGUGAAGAAGGAGAAGAACCGAUUUAUUUUCGGAUUCAAGAACGAAAUCAACGAAACAGAAUCAGAUCGAAGUUUUCCGAAGAUUUUCGUUCGAAAUCUCCGUUUAAAUCACAGGUAACACUUGAAUCUUCAUUUUCCUUUCUCAAGAACAAUAACAAGAACGAAUCAAUGUAGAUCUCCCAAGUUUCAAAGAGUUUCUUUCAAAAAAACUAAAAAAAAAAACCUUAAAAGAAUUCUCGAAAACCGCAAGAAAGAUUU